UAUAACAUAACAUUAAUGCACUAGAUCCCAUUAGAACUUCACAGUUAAGUGCGCUUAGGCUAGAGUAGUACUGGGAUGGGUGACCGCCCAAGAAUUUCUAGUGUUUUAC
rnacentral:rRNA from 1 species